rnacentral:snRNA from 1 species
UUACUCACUUUGGUAGCACAUACACUAACAUUAGAACAACACAGAGAAGAUUAGCAUGGCCGCUGCGCAAGGAUGACCCGCAUAUUAGUGA